UUGGUCAAGGUUUUGAGAGUAGCUAUACUUCCCUUCUACAGCCUUUAUACGUGCUCUCAGGAUCCACUUUUAGAAGAAAUGCAGGAUGGUUGAAC
rnacentral:sRNA from 1 species